rnacentral:snRNA from 1 species
CACACCAGAAGAUCAAUUUCAUCAACGAACAUGGUUCUUGUCUUUUCCCAGAACCAUCCGGGAAUUGUCUUCCGUUUUAAGUCAAAUGGUGUUUUAAUUGUUUUAAUUUUUGGAAACCUUUUUCAACUUUUGAGUUU